CGAAAAACCGAAAAACCUGCAAGCUGAGUUGUUCGGAAAGGCAUCAGACUGAAAAGGGGGUCAGGCUUCAGGCAAGAAGAGGAACAGUCAAAACAUGUGUGUUCAACCGCUCUGAAUGCCUGAAUCAUCAGAAGCUCUUCAGCGUCCGUCUGCCCCCCUUAGCUGGGGCUGAAGUGAAUGCCACGCAACGAGACAAAUAGCGGGAACAUGUAUGCAGUAAUGACAGAUCUGACAGGAUGUGACAGGUCCUCGGCAGGUUUACUUCUCCAGGUUUCUAAAAAUUAUUCAGGUGAAACACAUUUUGGACUGAAAAUCAAUUUCCUGAUAGACAC